rnacentral:rRNA from 1 species
GCACGAUAGUUUAGCCGGUGCCUUAUUCUUAAGGUACCGAUCAUGGGACCCCAGGGUAUUAACCAGCAGUCUUUUCGUUCCGUACAAAAACAGUUUACAACCCGAAGGCCUUCAUCCUGCACGCGGCAUGGGCAUGGAUCAGGCUUUCGCCCAUUGUCCAAAAUCCCCCA